rnacentral:rRNA from 1 species
AUUGAACGCUGGCGGCAUGCCUUACACAUGCAAGUCGAACGGUAACAGGUUAAGCUGACGAGUGGCGAACGGGUGAGUAAUAUAUCGGAACGUGCCCAGUCGUGGGGGAUAACGUAGCGAAAGCUACGCUAAUACCGCAUACGAUCUACGGAUGAAAGCGGGGGAUCGCAAGACCUCGCGCGAAUGGAGCGGCGGUUAUCAGAUUAGGUUGUUGGUGAGGUAAAAGCUCACCAAGCCUGCGAUCUGUAGCUGGUCUGAGAGGACGACCAGCCACACUGGAACUGAGACACGGUCCAGACUCCUACGGGAGGCAGCAGUGGGGAAUUUUGGACAAUGGACGCAAGUCUGAUCCAGCAAUGCCGCGUGCAGGACGAAGGCCUUCGGGUUGUAAACUGCUUUUGUACGGAACGAAACGGUGAGCUCUAAUACAGUUUGCUAAUGACGGUACCGUAAGAAUAAGCACCGGCUAACUACGUGCCAGCAGCCGCAGUAA